rnacentral:pre_miRNA from 15 species
UAACCCAAGGGAACUUCUGCUGCUGAUAUAUUAUUGAAAAACUACUAUAUCACAGUGGCUGUUCUUUUUGGUUGC